GAUGAACGCUGGCGGCGUGCCUAAUACAUGCAAGUCGAGCGAAUGGAUUAAGAGCUUGCUCUUAUGAAGUUAGCGGCGGACGGGUGAGUAACACGUGGGUAACCUGCCCAUAAGACUGGGAUAACUCCGGGAAACCGGGGCUAAUACCGGAUAACAUUUUGAACCGCAUGGUUCGAAAUUGAAAGGCGGCUUCGGCUGUCACUUAUGGAUGGACCCGCGUCGCAUUAGCUAGUUGGUGAGGUAACGGCUCACCAAGGCAACGAUGCGUAGCCGACCUGAGGUGGUGAUCGGCCACACUGGGACUGAGACACGGCCCAGACUCCUACGGGAGGCAGCAGUAGGGAAUCUUCCGCAAUGGACGAAAGUCUGGCGGAGCAACGCCGCGUGAGUGAUGAAGGCUUUCGGGUCGUAAAACUCUGUUGUUAGGGAAGAACAAGUGCUAGUUGAAUAAGCUGGCACCUUGACGGUACCUAACCAGAAAGCCACGGCUAACUACGUGCCAGCAGCCGCAGUAA
rnacentral:rRNA from 1 species